rnacentral:rRNA from 1 species
GAUGAACGCUGGCGGCGUGCCUAAUACAUGCCAGUCGAGCGAACAGACGAGGAUCUUGCUCCUCUGACGUUAGCGGCGGACGGGUGAGUAACACGUGGAUAACCUACCUAUAAGACUGGGAUAACUUCGGGAAACCGGAGCUAAUACCGGAUAAUAUAUUGAACCGCAUGGUUCAAUAGUGAAAUACGGUUUUGCUGUCACUUAUAGAUGGAUCCGCGCCGCAUUAGCUAGUUGGUAAGGUAACGGCUUACCAAGGCAACGAUGCGUAGCCGACCUGAGAGGGUGAUAGGCCAAACUGGAACUGAGACACGGUCCAGACGACUACGGGAGGCAGCAGUAGGGAAUAUUCCGCAAUGGGCGAAAGCAUGACGGAGCAACGCCGCGUGAGUGAUGAAGGUCUUCGGAUCGUAAAACUCUGUUAUUAGGGAAGAAAAAAUGUGUAAGUAACUAUGCACGUCUUGACGGUACCUAAUAAGAAAGCCACGGCUAACUACGUG